CCCCACUAACAGUGCCAACAGGUAGUGCAGCACGCAAUGCAUCCCACGUAGUUAAAUGAUCAAGCAACUCUCCAGUGACCGUUGAGCUGAUGUGCAUGACAUGAGAAUAUCGCUCAAUAUCCAUCAGCCUUUCAACUUUCACAGAACCAGCUUUGGAGACCUUUCCCACAUCGUUCCUUCCCAAGUCAACUAGCAUAAUGUGUUCUGCACAUUGUUUUUCAUCGUUCAAAAGUUCCUUCUCCAACAUUUUAUCUUCUUUAGGUGUCUUUCCUCUCCUCACAGUCCCGGCAAGGGGUCGGUUUAUAAUUUUAUUCUUCUUCACACGUGUGAGAAUUUCUGGACUAGAAGCAACUAAUAUACCCCCUCUAGCCUGUAAAUAAGCCAUAUAUGGACUUGGAUUAACAAUUCUCAGAGCUCGAUAUAUUUCAAAUGGGUCUGCAAAAGUACGACGUUCAAAACGCUGACUCAAUACAAUCUGAAAAAUAUCGCCAGCCAGGAUAUGCUCUUUGGCAUGCAAAACUGCUGCCUUGUAUUCUUCACUUGUCAUGCUCGACAUCUCUAAUUUAGGGCCAAAGAGACGAG
rnacentral:misc_RNA from 1 species